rnacentral:rRNA from 1 species
CCUACGGGUGGCUGCAGUGGGGAAUAUUGGACAAUGGGGGAAACCCUGAUCCAGCAAUGCCGCGUGUGUGAAGAAGGCCUGCGGGUUGUAAAGCACUUUCGGUUGGGAAGAAAAGUUUGGCGCCAAUACCGCCGAACCUUGACGUUACUGACAGAAGAAGCACCGGCUAACUCUGUGCCAGCAGCCGCGGUAAUACAGAGGGUGCAAGCGUUAAUCGGAAUGUCUGGGCGUGGUGCGGGAGGUGGGGGGUGAAAUCCCCGGGCUUAACCUGGGAACUGCAUUCGAUACUACAUGGCUAGAGUAUGGUAGAGGGAAGUGGAAUUUCCGGUGUAGCGGUGAAAUGCGUAGAUAUCGGAAGGAACACCAAUGGCGAAGGCAGCUUCCUGGACUAAUACUGACACUGAGGCACGAAAGCGUGGGGAGCAAACAGGAUUAGAUACCCUGGUAGUC